rnacentral:rRNA from 1 species
CCUACGGGCGGCAGUAGGGAAUAUUGCUCAAUGGGGGAAACCCUGAUGCAGCGACGCCGCGUGAGUGAAGAAGUAUUUCGGUAUGUAAAGCUCUAUCAGCAGGGAAGAAAAUGACAGUACUUGACCAAGAAGCCCCGGCUAACUACGGGCCAGCAGCCGCGGUAAUACGUAGGGGGCAAGCGUUAUCCGGAUUUACUGGGUGUAAAGGGAGCGUAGACGGUUAUGUAAGUCUGGAGUGAAAGCCCGGGGCGCAACCCCGGGACUGCUUUGGAAACUGUGUAACUGGAGUACAGGAGGGGCAGGCGGAAUUCCUGGUGUAGCGGUGAAAUGCGUAGAUAUCAGGUAGAACACCGACGGCGAAGGCAGCCUGCUGGGCUAAAACUGACGUUGAGGCUCGAAAGCGUGGGGAGCAAACAGGAUUAGAUACCCUUGUAGUC